rfam:Desulfitibacter sp. BRH_c19 BRHa_1004651, whole genome shotgun sequence.
UAGAUAGGCUCCGGCGAUCCAUUAGGUAUGAUUGCUAGCCAUUCAUUAGCCUCGGGUAUGGGCGGGUUACGUACUUCCGGAGAUCUGGUUGCACGUAUGC